UUCCGGUUGAUCCUGCCGGACCCGACUGCUAUCAGAGUGGGACUAAGCCAUGCGAGUCAACGUAGCAAUACGUGGCGUACGGCUCAGUAACACGUAGUCAACAUGCCCAGGGGACGAGGAUAACCUCGGGAAACUGAGGAUAAACCGCGAUAAGUCACUACUUCUGGAAUGGGUAAUGACACAAACCUACAUGGCCCCUGGAUUGGACUGCGGCCGAUCAGGCUGUUGGUGAGGUAAUGGCCCACCAAACCUGUAACCGGUACGGGCUCUGAGAGGAGGAGCCCGGAGAUGGGCACUGAGACAAGGGCCCAGGCCCUAUGGGGCGCAGCAGGCGCGAAACCUCUGCAAUAGGCGAAAGCCUGACAGGGUUACUCUGAGUGAUUUCCGUUAAGGAGAUCUUUUGGCACCUCUAAAAAUGGUGCAGAAUAAGGGGUGGGCAAGUCUGGUGUCAGCCGCCGCGGUAAUACCAGCACCCCGAGUGGUCGGGACGUUUAUUGGGCCUAAAGCAUCCGUAGCCGGUUCUGCAAGUCUUCCGUUAAAUCCACCUGCUUAACAGAUGGGCCGCGGAAGAUACUAUAGAGCUAGGAGGCGGGAGAGGCAAGCGGUACUCGAUGGGUAGGGGUAAAAUCCGUUGAUCCAUUGGAGACCACCAGUGGCGAAGGCGGCUUGCCAGAACGCGCUCGACGGUGAGGGAUGAAAGCUGGGGGAGCAAACCGGAUUAGAUACCCGGGUAGUCCCAG
rnacentral:rRNA from 1 species